rnacentral:rRNA from 1 species
GCAGCCGCGGUAAUACGGAGGAUGCGAGCGUUAUCCGGAUUUAUUGGGUUUAAAGGGUGCGUAGGCGGCCUAUCAAGUCGGUGGUGAAAUUUCGUGGCUCAACCACGUCACUGCCAUCGAAACUGAUAAGCUUGAGUGCGUUGGGGGUAGCUGGAAUGUGCGGUGUAGCGGUGAAAUGCAUAGAUAUCGCACAGAACGCCGAUCGCGAAGGCAGGUUACCACGCCGCAACUGACGCUGAGGCACGAAAGCGCGGGGAUCGAACAGGAUUAGAUACCCC